AUUGAACGCUGGCGGCAGGCCUAACACAUGCAAGUCGAACGAGUGGCGGACGGGUGAGUAAUGCUUGGGAAUCUGGCUUAUGGAGGGGGAUAACUACGGGAAACUGUAGCUAAUACCGCGUACCAUAGGAUGAGCCCAAGUGGGAUUAGUUAGUUGGUGGGGUAAAGGCUCACAAAGCCGACGAUCUCUAGCUGGUCUGAGAGGAUGACCAGCCACACUGGGACUGAGACACGGUCCAGACUCCUACGGGAGGCAGCAGUGGGGAAUAUUGCGCAAUGGGCGCAAGCCUGACGCAGCCAUGCCGCGUGAAUGAAGAAGGCCUUCGGGUUGUAAAGUUCUUUCGGUGGCGAGGCGUUACCUACAGAAGAAGCACCGGCUAACUCCGUGCCAGCAGCCGCGGUAAUAC
rnacentral:rRNA from 1 species